rnacentral:SRP_RNA from 1 species
AAUUGGGUAAGUCCUAUACGACCAGCUCCCUUUGAACUCCCCCAGGGCUUGACGGCAGCAAGGGUAGAAGGUUGUAGCGGUGCGAUAUAGAUCGCUUACCCA